GUUUAUCACAGUCCUUGGGUCCAAGCAGUUCUCAACCCCAACUUGGUAGCGGCACAACUCAAAUGGUAACUUUUUAGUUUUUUAUUUUUUUCAUUUAUAGAUUUACUUUAUUGGUCAUACAAUUAUUUGAAAUUGUUGUGAUUGUUUGACUCAAGCAGUUAGAGGUGGGAGGAGGGGUGGUAUAAGCAGUUCUCAACCCCAAGGUGCUACAUGGAGUUUUGGUGCAAGCAGUUCUCAGCCCCAACUUGGUAGAGGGACAACUCAAAUGGCAGUUAGAGGUGGGAGGGGUGCGUCUAUGUCUUAGCCCCAACUUGGUAGUGGUACCUCUUCUGACAUGGCAAUGUGGUAACUGUCAUGCUGUUUCAAUCCUUUUGGCCUCCCCUGAAGAAUGUUUUUUGUGUUCUUAUUUGGAGCAUAUGUGGAUAACUACCUGUCACUUUUGAUGUUACUAUUUUGUUUUGAUGGCAUGUGGACAAAUGUUUGCUCAUAGUUAGAGUUGCAUUUAGAGCAUAUGUGGAUAACCUAUUACUUUUGGGAAACUUUGCUUGCUACCUGUUGACAAUUUUUGGGAUAUUGUUGGAUAGGUUCUUGGACAGGAUAUAAUUACAUACUUAUACUCAUGGGUCUUGGGUAAACUUUUGGUUGUUUUGUGUAUGUAAUGAAGUGGAGACAGUUGGAUUGAACUAUAUAUAAGCUUUUGGUUAUUUUUUGCAUGCCACUGUGUUUUGCAAUGGAGUUCAUACUAUAUAAGCUUUUGAUUAUU